GCGGCGCUGGUUGACGAAAUGGGCACUCGCUGCCCUGGUCCUUUAUGCGGGCGUAGACCUUCCGCCGUGCGUGGGGAUGCUCCGGCCGGCUGCGAGCGCGUGCGGCGGUGUUGUGAGGGUCCACGAUACCCACAAAUCGAGAUAAUCUCUAAGGUCACGAAGAAGCUCAGCGCCACUUGUGGGAUUCUCCAGUAGCCAGAGGCUGACGCUCCAGCCAGAAAGAGCCGGGACGCGGCGACCGCGCGUGCUCCAGGCCUCUUGCCACGGCUCCCAAACCCGCAGCACAAAGGCUGCGGCGGCGUCCACGCCACUUGCGGAGGGGAGCUGGGGUCACACAAUUAGAGAUCCCGGUGAUAAAAGAAGUGUGUUCAGGGGUCGCCAGGUUAGAUCCCGGCGGUCCCCAGCGGGGACUCAAGAGAUACAUUGAAAUCCUAACCCCCAGUACCUCAGAAUGUGACCAAACUGGAACUAGGAACUGUUGCACAUGCCAUUAAUGAAGGCGAAGCCGUAAUGGACUAGGAUGAGCCCUUAGUCCACUCUGACUAGUAUCCUUAUAAGAAGAGGAAAAGAGAGACAGAGAAAGACACACAGGGGAGACCAUGUGACAGCAGAGGCGGACGUUCGAGUGAUGCAUCUAUGAACUGGGAACGACAAGGGUUG